rnacentral:lncRNA from 1 species
UCGAAUAAGAAUAGAGGAAAUAUGGGUUACAAAAUUUCAAAACCCUAGAAAUGAAUUAAUAUGUACUUGAAGGAAUAUUAAGAAUAAGGUAUUACGAUACCUUUAAAUUCGAUGUGAACGGAAUAGUCUAAAAAAAAAAUGUUAUAUAAGUAUAUAUGGAAAUUUUAUUAUUGGAGAUAAGAUUUCACAUGAAGAGAUGCUAUGAGGUUAAACGAAGAUGAGUAUAUGUAUAGAAAUAUAUUUACUUAGUAAGGUGCUAUAUAUAUUUUAGCAAGAGGAAUGAUGAAUUAAGUUAAUGAUAUAAUGAUCAAGAUAAAACUAUGUUAGUAAUUAACAUAGUUUGAGUGUUGGCCUUGACUGGCAAAUAAGAAUUUGAAUAAGUAUAAAGUCGUUAGAUAAUACGAUUANNNNN